AGUUGGUGAAACCUUGUUGAAAUUGUGUGUGACAGCUGCCCUUCAUUCAGGAUAAAGGUGGGGAGACUGAGGUACAGAAUUGCCUGUGGUCACACAAGAAGACUGUGGAAGAGCUGUGAAUAGAAUGCCGGAGUCUAGAUUCUCAUUCAGAAGACCCUCCCUCCUCCUCCUCUUGCAAAAGUGACAGCUACAUAAAUAAAUAAGAGAUCAAGAGCUUGUCAGUACUUUCCUGCUGAUGAAGUCAGAAAAGCAAGAAAAUAGGGGGAAAGGAAAAAUUGAAGGAGAGAGAAAAUGUAGGAAGACAUGGAAGAGGAAAGGAUGCAGGAGAACAAACUCAGCAGAAAGGAAAUAGGCAGUGCUACUAUGGGAACCCUCCAUUAAACAGAGGAAAUAACCAAAAUAACCAACCACAGCCAUCACAGAAGGC